rnacentral:tRNA from 1 species
GGGCUUGUGGUUUAGUGGUAUAACGCACGGUUCGCAUCCGUGAAAUCGGGGGUUCAAUUCCCCCCAAGUCCA